AUUGAACGCUGGCGGCAUGCCUUACACAUGCAACUCGAACGGUAACAGGUCUUCGGAUGCUGACGAGUGGCGAACGGGUGAGUAAUACAUCGGAACGUGCCUAGUAGUGGGGGAUAACUACUCGAAAGAGUGGCUAAUACCGCAUGAGAUCUACGGAUGAAAGCAGGGGAUCGCAAGACCUUGUGCUACUAGAGCGGCCGAUGGCAGAUUAGGUAGUUGGUGGGAUAAAAGCUUACCAAGCCGACGAUCUGUAGCUGGUCUGAGAGGACGAUCAGCCACACUGGGACUGAGACACGGCCCAGACUCCUACGGGAGGCAGCAGUGGGGAAUUUUGGACAAUGGGCGAAAGCCUGAUCCAGCACUGCCGCGUGCAGGAUGAAGGCCUUCGGGUUGUAAACUGCUUUUGUACGGAACGAAAAGCCCCGGGUUAAUACCCUGGGGUCAUGACGGUACCGUAAGAAUAAGCACCGGCUAACUACGUGCCAGCAGCCGCGGUAA
rnacentral:rRNA from 1 species